CCUCAAUCGGUGCAAUAAGUCUAUUGGCGACAUGUCGCGACACUAGCAAUGUGACCCUUCAGUUGAUGCAGAAAUUCAGAAACUAUGCAGAAAUCCUGAAGGUACGAAGUGUCUCGUCUGAAGGUACGAAGUGUCUCGUGAGAAGGUACGAAGUGUCUCACGGGAAGGUACGAAGUGUCUCAAGGGAAGGGUGGGGAUUGAGUAGCUGUGCAGCACUUCCUCUUCCGGCUUCUUGGUUGGGGACACUUGCUUGAAAUCGAUGGGUGGACAGUGAGAAGGUGGUCUUGCAUUACACACAUCAAUUUGUAGAGAUCAGGCUUGAUGUACUUGCAUCGGACACAGAUGUUUGGUUUCCUGAACGAUUGUACCGGUCACUUUGGUGAUAUUCAUUUCCUGAAAUGCAAUUGAACAAGCAACUGUUCCUCUCCCAGGGCAUUCAUGUCAGAUGUCACACUUGCAACAACCUCUGCAACGUCAAUGUUGUCAUUAACGAGUGCAACCAAUGCCAACUGGUCUUGCAACUCUCUCAUCUCACUGUGGAUUUCCUGACAUCUUUGUUCAGCCUGAGAAACCUCUGCAAUUUGUGCGACAUACAGUGGAAAGGGGCCAUUUCCGAGACCAGCUGCACCUUGUGGGAUUUUGCAAGUUCUUUGGCGAUACUUUCACCAAGCUCCUUGCAUUCCAACUCCAUCAAAGUAUAAAACUUAAACCAGAGCCCAAGACUGAUAUGCAGGGGAAGCGGGCAUACCUGAGAAGAGGAAUUGAAAAUUACAUGUAUUUACUUAUUAAAAGGUUGCAACUUACCGCUGGGACCAGACAGGCCGUACAUCCUACAAAGGAACUCGUAAUCACCGAACAUGAACACUACAAGUUUCUUUCCCCUGAAAAAGAAAAGAGAUGUUCUCGAAGUGAAGCCCAGGACAUUCUCAAAGAGGCUUUCAGGGCAAGUUCUUCAAGAGGUGGGAUGAAGGACUUCAACUGCAUAUCCUGCAGCAGACUUUGCAGCUCAUCUCUGGGAGUUGUUAUCAGAAUUUGGUGUAACUGAUAACUUGGUUGACCACCACUUAUUGUUGACAACUGUGUCUUCAGCUUGGCAUUUCGACUCUGAAGGGUUCUUCUACACACUUCUGUACUUGUUUUUUUAGGACGCGUGACUUGUUGAAUACAGAGAGCCUAAAGUGAGAAAUUUUAAACUAAUCUGUUAAAUUUUCUAUUUGUGAUAAUUAAUGUCCCCAAAGUAGGAGGUCAAUAGUAACCAUGCUUGUACAUUGCAUGUUGUUGCUGAGAACCAUGAUCUAGAUGGGAUAGCGCUAUACAAAUCUGGUUAUUAUUAUUAUUAUUAUUAUUAUUAAAUUUGAAUGCAUUUUUUAAUGUUUGUACAGUGUACUAUAUGUUUUUUUUAACCUCGUGUGGUGAAACGAAUUUUGGUAUACAUCACACUUUUGUUGAAUGAUGCCGUAACCAACUGAGGGCGCUCUUUCACUUUAACGGUGAGCGUGAGGAUACAUGUUGUAAGGUUGUGAAAAGGCCAGACUUUUGGGAUUAUUUUAUUGUCAGAGGAAUUUAGUCUCAUUCUCAUCAAUACCGGUAGUAUGUAAAUUAUUUGCAAAUAAUUAUCUAAAUAUUUAGAAUGUGAUAACCAACUUCCAGGUCUUUAUGAGUAAGUUGAGUAACUUAAUUAGGCUGGGGCGUAUGAACAUUAGCCGGGUUACGGAACAGGGUUUACUUUUGGUCCCUUUUCUGUUUUGGUCGCCAAGUUGCCAGGAGUGUGGUCGGAGAGAAGCUCUUAAAAGUUGUUUUUAACAGAGAAAUAAGAUGACCAGAUGACCAGAUGACCAAAUAAUUGUUCUAUAGAAGACAGAUCGGUUGGUAAGUUAGAUUUUGGCAUUUUCGAAUUCAUUAUUUAGGCUAAAUAAUGUUGACAAUAGUCUACCGAGUAAAUAGCACAUGGUGUACAAUGUAAACAGGCAUGGGGCAACAUUAACGUUAAGUGUCAUGCAUACUGAUGGAGUGUAAACUAAGGUGGAUGAUUCUCUAAGUAAUCUGUAAUCUUGUUGUCAUUUGAUGUAAGAACUUAUACGAAGUAUUGACUGUAUCUUUAUGUUAGGUUUUUCUUUGGAAUUGAAUGGAGAUGUAAAUAUAUCAUGAUAUGCUGAGGAGGGUGUGAAUUGAGCCUACGCAACCCAAACAAGGUGUCAAGCCUGAUUUAUUUGUCUUCGGACUAAAUUAAAAACACUACAAAUUUUGGUAACACGAUGGGGUUGCUAAACUGUGCUACUUUGCUGGUUGUCGUCCGGUACAUUCAGUGCAUUGACUGAGUUCCAGAGAGGGAGUGAUCCAAGCUGCAGUGGACACCACCAAGAUAAAGUGUGAGCUUGGAGUUCCAGACCUGACUGGCUGGUGGUGAUUCGUUGUUCGGGAGCAGUGCAAGUGGAGUGCUAUUGGACCCUGUGGAACACAGACUCAAUCUAUACAUGUCAUGAGCAUGUGCAUGUAGGCCUAUACCUGUGAAGAGCAACGACCAGUGAUUGAUCAGCAGUGUGAGGUUUGAUUGUUAUUCAAAUUUAGCACUUUAACAUUUAGAUAAAGAGUUAACCACUCAGUUUAAUAUCACAUGAUAUUGUGUAGACCUGUGUUAGUUUUAGUCAUAGUAAAAACCAACCGAUCCUGUUGAAACAGUUAAGUAGAACUUCACCUGGGUGUAGGUGUUUAUGAUUGUUUCUGAUUGUACAAGUUAGUUUGCUUUUUAGUAACUGAAUCGUAAUUUCUUGACUUGCAAUGGCCCUACCUGAGGCUGAUCUGGUGACGCGUUUGGUGGCAGGACUUACUGAUGCACUUCGGCAAGAUAAGCCUAAAUCUGUCAUUCAGAGGCCCUUGAAGUUGAGUAAAUACUAUGGUAGACCGGGAGAUCCAACCAUUAUUUAAUGGCUUGAAGAUGCAGAGGUGUAUCUGCAACAGUGUCGUAUUCCUGAGGCAGAUAAGGCCAAGGUGGUUGUUCACCACUUAGCGGGUGUUGCUCGCGAUGAAAUCAAAUGCCACAAUGACAAUGUGACGGGUGUGAUUACUGUUUUGUCGAGUUUUGUUUAUUACGAACUGUCGCCUGAGGCGACCGUUUUCCGAUAAACGCAUCAGAAACUGUAUUUCUCGAUAGCUUUACUGAUAUAAAAGGUUAUCUAAACUGCUUAAAUUUGUACUGAUACUGCUUAGGUUUACUGAUCGGCGUUUAGGGUGAGUGUUAUAGAAUUGUAUUGUUGGCUAAGACUUUCAGUAGUUUCGUAGUAUUAAAGAUAAUUCUAACGGUUUUUCUGCUCUUGAGAAGUUGUAAUAUGUUACAUGUACAUGCAUUUGAUACACGUCAAAGUUCAAAGGUUAAAGUUCGGAUGUUUAUAAAUCCGUUUUAUAAGGUUCCAAGUUACAAGUUCUGCUUAUGUAAGAAUUUAUGAAUAUUGUAACGAAAUGGUACCGCGCGGUGGCGCUCCAGGCUUAGCGCGAGAGCAGGCGCCCUUAGCGUGCGAAUAGGUGGUUAGGCGGGGCUCUGGCUGCCGCGGGGCAUUUUGGGGAGCACGCUGCUGCCUCGUGCGUGGAGAGUGCGUAGCGGGCAGUUGCAGACUGGACAGCGAAUGGUACAGACGUGUUUUCAAUAGUGGUGUUUAACAAUUGGCGGGGAGGAUUAAGGAGGCGACGUGAGUAGUGUGUUAAUGUGUCGGGAGUAGUAGCAGGGCUAGCGUUCGGAGCUUUGGGAGUUGCGGUGCGUGGUGCCGACAGUUGUGUAACCGAGGGGUAGGUUUUAUUGGAUUAUUUUCUGUGUUAUGUAUGGCAAGUUGGACGUAGAGACGUGCGGUAAUCCACUCCCGUAAGGAGGUCACAUUCUAUUGUGCAUUGUAUUGGUUGCUCUGGAGUCCGGGAUUUUAUCAGGCCCUUAAGGCAUAUUCUAUUGUGCAUUGUAUUGUUUGCUCGGAGUCCGGGAUUUUAUCAGGCCCUAAAGGCAGCUUUGGUUUUACCGUAAGUGCGGUUCAGUUACUUUAAGUUAGUUCCAGUUACCUUAAGGGAUUUUCCAUUUGCUUAAGGGAUUUCCAGUUACUUGAGGGAUUUCGGUGAUCUUAAGUGUUGUCAGUUGCCUUAAGGGACCAUUUCUGGCCUUAAGGAAAGGAGGAUUACGAAGUGGGAAUCAGGAAUUACUGUGCUUUUGUAGAGAUAAUUAAUAAAACGGAUCAAUAGUCAAUCA